rnacentral:lncRNA from 12 species
AUGGGGGGCCCUGGUCAGCCCUGCCAACACUGGGACGCUCUCCCCACACUGCAGAUGACCACACUGAGGCUCGGAGCCUCUGGGGGUGGGGUGGGGUGGGGAGAACAAGAGCCCUGCGGGUGCCCCCCCCCCCAGCUAAGCAGCUCCCUCUUGGGCAGCUCCCCCCAGCUGCACGCCUGGUUGCCAUGGAGUCGGAGGAGAAGAAAGAGGAGCAGAUUCCUGAGCCACAUCCAAAAAUACACACACACCACCCGCCCCUCCUUCCUCACUCCCUUUCUCCACCGUCAAAGCUCCCCUUUGUGUAGCCAGGGGCCCGUGCGCUUCCUCCCAGACAGCCUGGAACAGAGGAGGUCAAAGAGGCCCAGGGGCCAGGAAGUACUUGUUGAAGAAAAGAAGAUGAAUAUCCAACGACCGCAAGGCCUCUGCCCUCCCCGGAAACAGUUGGGAAGAAGCCCCAGAAGCUGUCUUCCAGCGGCCCUCACCCCACCUGGGGAACGCGUCCCAGGAGUGGUCCCGCACCCGAGGUGGCCAAGCCUUUGUUCGUUUGCUCUUCCCUCCCCUGGCUGCUGUGUCGGGCCCACACCCCGAGAGCUGGAACAGGGAGACAGGAGCGAGGACCACCAGCCACCACACCGCUGAAGAGGAAUGUGCAGAAGGCCACCUGCGGGAGCAGUCAGAGAGGGCUUCGUGGAGGAGGUGACCUUUGCAUGGGGCCUUGGAGAGUGAGUAGGAGUUUGUCCGAAGGCCAGUGGGUAGCGGGGGGACGUUCCAGGCAGCAGGGAGAGUGUGAGCUCCAACGUGGAUGUGACCCAGACGCCAGGAGGGGUCCGGGAUGGAUGAAAUAUGGGUGCGGGGCUGGGGGGUUAGCAAGAGAUCAGGCUGCGGGGGGGAAACCCAAAUCGCAGAGGGCCUUGAUGGCGGCCCAGGGGCUUGCAGGUGUUCCUUUGGGCCAGUGGCGUUGGGCUCCGGGUUCUGAUCCACAGGCGGCAGAGGGAUAGCGCUCGGUUGGUUGUGACAGACUCCGGGGCUGGUACCCGCUGCUGCGCCUGGAGGUCGGUGAUGAUGCGAGUGACCGGGUCAGGCUGAGCGCAGUGAGGACCAGGAGGACAAACGGCUCGGGGAGGACUGUGACCUGCCCCAGGCCUCCAAGGUCACUGUGACUCCACGGCCCCCCUCCGUCCUUCCCGAAGCCCCUUUACUCAUGUACUCGUGGGCUUCCGGCACCCGGCCUGCUGCCCUCGGGGACCCGAAGGUGCUGAGUCACCUUCCUGGGGCGGCUCCCCAUGUCCCUCCCAGCUCUCCCCGUGCAGGAUGGGGCAUCCUCAGGGGCCCGGCUGCAUGAGACAGACCCACGUUCAUGUCCAGGCUGUCCGUGGAGGGUACAGGAGCCUCUCAGGCCAGCACGGGCUCCUCUGAACCUUAGUGUCUCCACCUGCAGGCAGGGGUGAGGGUGAGGGUGAGGGUGAGGGUGAGGGUCCUUCCAGCACGAGAGCCCGGGCCCCGGGGAAGGUGCCAGGUGCAGAGCCAGGCCUGAGCGAAGCUCACUCCCUUCCUGCUGCCCACAGGUGCACCCGGCUCCACGCGUCCUGCUUCAUCCUAUUUGGAGCAGGGUCCCGGCCAGGUUUCCAUGCGGAAGGCCCAUCUGCUGCCCGUUGGAGUGCCCCGUCUAUACCACGGGGAAAAACCGAGCUGCUCUGCCUGGAGGGGGGGUGUUGAAGGCGGUCCUGGGGAAGAGGCCCAUUUGCCCUGUCGCCCUGGAUCCUGGGGACACGGUGCAAUCGGCGCAGCCAGGGCACAGAGCACUGUGGAUAGAGUCCAGCAGCCGAUAUUCACAGGCUGGUAGGGAGAGACUCCCAUGGACUCAAAUCCGCGUGUUCAUGCCAGCGCGGGUGGGCCCAUGAACUCACGUUUUAUCAUAAGUAGUCAGUCUAUAUAACAAAAAUGGUAAAAUAUACCCUUGCGAAAAAUUGUAAUGAUGACUUCAACCUUGUAACGUCCCACGGUUUCUUCUCUUAAACCUGGAGGGAUAUUUUAUUGAAAAUAUCUUGUACGCAGGAACGCUUUAUACGGACCUGGCAAUUCCAUUGGCUUCUCUUUCUUUUUCUUUUGUUAAAUUCAAGUAACAUUAAAUAAAAAUAGUAUCCAAUACA